UCAUCAUGUAGUCAAAAACCAAAAAGCUGUGAUUAGUUAGCUAGUUAGUGCCGUCAGUGUUGUAGCUUAGGUGGUUAGUGGAGGACGUCGCCGAAAUUAAAUCGUUACAGUUCGGGUUUGGUCCGAGGUUACGUCGGGCUUGUGGUUGACGAAGUGACUCUAGGGCAGGUUUUCUCCUGCGAAUUCUUAUUCCAUCAGAUUUUUCAUACUCAUCGUCCAGAGCUGGUGUAAUGGGCCAAUUAGCGGCCGACCUGCCACUUCGUCUCAGUCUCACUCCACCUCACGAAAUAAAAUUUUAUUAGGUUCCUUCCUUUCGAGCUGGUCACUCGUAGCCCCAGCUUUUGGCUCAUAUGUAGUCAUGCGGUCACGUGAGGCCAUGAACACAAAUAUCCAUGUUUAUCCCCAGGGACGUCAUCAAAUUUACCAAACACCCCCCACAAACUAAAACCCUGAUGACGCAUACAAACCAAACGCAGUUCUGGCCGUUCUGGCUUUUUACUCUUGGGCUACCAACAUAACUUCACGUUUCCCCCAACCUUGCUGACCCACUUGGCCCUUUCCAUUUUUCCUUUUUCAUGGAUCCCCAUGUUGCUGGAACACCAUCAGAUACAGAAAUAGUCAACGAGAACAAGACAAAUCACAUCGAUUUCACAAAUACAAUAGAUCACAUAAAUACAAUCUAUUACAUAAUUACAAUACUUAAUCCAUCACCAUUUGAACAAUUUCUGUGUCAUUUAAAAAAUGUAUUACUGCUAGGAAAGGUGGAUGAAAGAUUUAACACCAACAUAUUUGACUAUUUUUAAUAAAGGUUGGAGAAUAAAAAAUUAACGACUGCAUAAAAGGAAUUUGAGAUCAACAAUGAUUGUACCUCCUUUUUAAAACUUCCAAAAUGUUCUAAAAUUCUUAUUCUAUCAGAUUCUUAAGAGCUGAAAAUGUGAUUGUAAACAGCUCAUGAAUGCUGCUUGGCUCAGUUCUGAACACAUCCUGACAGGAAUAAUUUAACUCGGUAGCCAGGAUAACACCAUAUAUAGCAAAACAACUGCAUGAUGAAUGAGCUCUUGGGAUGGAAAUAUUUACAUACAGCAAUUCAGAAAGAAGACAUCAUACAAUGUUUCUCAAGAAUGAGAUCAAGGAUACCAGGGUAUUUUGUGCUUGGAUAGAAGGAUCAGGUCUUGAGGCGUACAGCGGUGUCAUAUGUUAAACGAUUAUAUUAGUUCUAUUAUUAGAAUCAUCAUUGUAUUAUCUUAGUAUAUUAUUAUAUUAUUAUU